GACACGGAAAGUUCGGGAUGGUGUACCCAGACCUAGCUCACCGUAAUACGCAACGUCGCUAUUGCUUUUAAGCAGGAUUUUUCCACCAAGGUUUCUGAUAUAUGGGUACCUGGUGUAAAUUGGCCUGUAACCUUGGUCAUGGCAUAUAUAUCCAGCGAGUCGUCGACCUAUGUAAAGAACGAGAACCCGUAACAAUCCCCUAUGAGGGUACUCGUAUAGAAGGAUUCUUGAGCAUAGAUGAUAUUACUAUAAGGUCAAAUGGUUGUGCAAAAACAACAAUUCAUAGAGGCUAAUAACGAAGCAGGUGGAAAAAAUACACAAUUCAAUAUAUGCCUUUAGAUGGUAUUCUUGGGCUGGGAUUCCAAGAGAAUUCUGUGAAACGUUCGGUCCCUCUUUGGGAGAACAUGCGAACACAAGGUUUGAUUCAACAGCACAUUUUCUCCAUUUGGUUAAAAUAUUACAACCCACAAGAUGAAGAAAAUGGAGUUAUCAUUUUUGGUGGAUACGAUCAAGCCCACUUUAAAGGGUCGCACGCCUAUGUUCCUGUAACACAGAAUGUUUAUUGGGAGUUCGUGAUGGGGACAAUACACAUCGGAGGGGAACAAACUGAUCUUUGCGCCGAGGGUUGUGCAGCAAUUGUUGACACCGGCUAUUCUAUAGUGAGAGUCCCACGGGUAAGAAAUUUUAUUGUAUAUUUUUUUUUUGUCCUCUCAUGUUGAAAAAUGACAUCCCGUUUAUGUGGUAUUUUUUCGUUGUUGUAAAUAACCUAAUGGUUUUUUUUUCUAGUCUAUAAUUAAUAGUAUAAAUCGAGCUA